ACUACAUAUUCCUACGCAUUAUAUAUGGGGGUUAACAGUAUCGAGUCUUCGUUUCAGGUUGCACCCGUCUCAGCGUCACGUUGAAGAUUCACGGCCUAGCUUAGCGUGUUAGCCACUAGCAAAGACACGCGGAAGUUAGCAACACACCGCCAGUGAUUGUGGAAAUGUGUAAAGCACAAAUGCUGGGAGCGUCGGUGACUGCUGCAGCCGAGGAAAUAUUUGUAGUGUCAGAAACAACGAUAGCGGAAUACAAGGAGGAGGUUUGUCGAACAAAAGAGGAGAACGAGCGGCAACGUCGGACUGCUGCUGGACGGACGCCUCGAGUUGUGCACCACAGAGCAGACGUCACUGAAGAACAUCUUCCCUCUGAGCCGCAGGGGUGAAGCAGGAGGAGCCGCAGCCGCCCCACAUUAAAGAUGAAGAGGGGGAGCCACAGCCCACCCCUCCCAUAUUAAAGGGCAUUCCGAGUGUUUGUGGUCAGCGCGAGUCCUCAUAUCACCGUCACAGUUUGCAUCACAGCUCAAAGCUUCUCGGGUAUCGUCCCCGUCUUCACCCUCAGGGGGGUGUGACAACGUGUGCUCUGCUUGUGGUUCGUCUUCACGCUCUUCAGGCUUCACAGAGACGACAGUCAGUGGCAACUUGGCGAGAUCAACCUCCUCAGUGAUCCAGAGUUCCUCCUCUUCGUCUUUCACGUAGGGGGGCUGUGGAUCCUUCUGCUUCAAAGCGGAGAUCCCCUCCCGCGGCCGAGGGGCACGUCGAUCCUGAUGACCAAUUAGCUGGUGGCCGUCUGCAGGACACAACACAACACAGACACAGGUUUUUAUUUUUACUUUCACUGAUUGUUGAUGCAUUGGUGAACAAAAGAGAGAUUAUUAUUCUAUUUUGAUCUUCUGGAAGUAGGCCAUCAUUUUUAUCAUCUGAUGUUUUCUCUAUUAUACAAUAAUAAAUGAACUUUGAGAUCUUUCAGCUAAAAAAUAAAGCUAUUUACAUAUAUUUAUAGACAAAGCUUUGUGUAAUUAAUUAUUAAUAUCAACAUGGCGGCUGUUUUCUUCACGCUGUCUUUUUACCUUAUU